AAUCCAUGCAUAGGACACUUUAGUAACAAAUCCUUGAAUCUUUAUCUUGCAUCAUAAAAGCUUUCAUCCUCCUUUUCUUGAAUGAAGUUAGAUCAUUUCAAAGUUU